rnacentral:rRNA from 1 species
GAUGAACGCUGGCGGCGUGCCUAAUACAUGCAAGUCGAGCGAACAGACGAGGAGCUUGCUCCUUUGACGUUAGCGGCGGACGGGUGAGUAACACGUAGGUAACCUACCUAUAAGACUGGGAUAACUUCGGGAAACCGGAGCUAAUACCGGAUAAUAUUUCGAACCGCAUGGUUCGAUAGUGAAAGAUGGCUUUGCUAUCACUUAUAGAUGGACCUGCGCCGUAUUAGCUAGUUGGUAAGGUAACGGCUUACCAAGGCAACGAUACGUAGCCGACCUGAGAGGGUGAUCGGCCACACUGGAACUGAGACACGGUCCAGACUCCUACGGGAGGCAGCAGUAGGGAAUCUUCCGCAAUGGGCGAAAGCCUGACGGAGCAACGCCGCGUGAGUGAUGAAGGUCUUCGGAUCGUAAAACUCUGUUAUUAGGGAAGAACAAAAGUGUAAGUAACUGUGCACGUCUUGACGGUACCUAAUCAGAAAGCCACGGCUAACUACGUG